GAGCCGGUAAAACUCGUGCCAGCCACCGCGGUUAUACGAGAGGCUCAAGUUGACAGACAACGGCGUAAAGAGUGGUUAGGGAAACUUUUUAAACUAAAGCCGAACGUCCUCAGAGCUGUUUAACGCUCCCGAGUUAAGAAGGUCUUUAACGAAAGUAGCUUUACCAAACCUGACCCCACGAAAGCUGUGAAACAAACUGGGAUUAGAUACCCCACUAUGCUCAGCCCUAAAAUUCGAUAGGUCACUACGCCCCCUAUCCGCCCGGGUACUACGAGCAUCAGCUUGAAACCCAAAGGACUUGGCGGUGCUUCACAUCCGUCUAGAGGAGCCUGUUCUAUAACCGAUAACCCCCGUUAAACCUCACCCUCCCUUGUUAAUCCCGCCUAUAUACCGCCGUCGUCAGCCUACCCUGUGAAGGACUAGAAGUGAGCAAGAUUGGUAAGACCCAAAACGUCAGGUCGAGGUGUAGUAUAUGAGAGGGGAAGAAAUGGGCUACAUUUCCUAAAUCAGGAAAUACGAACAAUGAACUGAAAUAAGCAUUAGAAGGUGGAUUUAGCAGUAAGCAGAGAAACAGAGUGUUCUGCUGAAGUUAAUGGCAAUAAAGCACGUACACACCGCCCGU
rnacentral:rRNA from 1 species